rnacentral:ncRNA from 1 species
AAUCCCGGCGGGCAAACCCGGCGAAAGCCGGGGACGCAAAGCUACAGGUCUAAAGUUUCUCAUUGAAGAAACCAUGACGGCUGGGUUGCAAGG